UACAGAGGGUGCGAGCGUUGUCCGGAAUCACUGGGCGUAAAGGGCGCGUAGGCGGCCUCAGUACGCGUGCCGUGAAAGCCCGGGGCUCAACCCCGGGACGGCGGUGCGAACGGGCAGGCUGGAGCCGGUCAGAGGCGGGGGGAAUUCCGGGUGUAGCGGUGGAAUUCGUAGAGAUCCGGAAGAACACCGGGGGCGAAGGCGGCCCGCUGGGAUCGAGCUGACGCUGAGGUGCGACAGCGUGGGGAGCAAACAGG
rnacentral:rRNA from 1 species